CUACGGGUUGCUCCAGUCGAGAAUCUUUCGCAAUGCCCGAAAGGGUGACGAAGCGACGCCGCGUGUGGGAAGAAGGCCUUCGGGUUGUAAACCACUGUCGGGAGUUAAGAAAUGUAAGGGUGUUAACAGCAUCCUUACUUGACUAAGGCUCCGGAGGAAGCCACGGCUAACUCUGUGCCAGCAGCCGCGGUAAUACAGAGGCGGCAAGCGUUGUUCGGAAUUAUUGGGCGUAAAGAGCACGUAGGCGGCCUUGUAAGUCAGUUGUGAAAGCCUUCUGCUUAACGGAAGAACAGCAUCUGAUACUGCGAGGCUAGAGUGCGGGAGGGGAGAGUGGAACUUCUGGUGGAGCGGUGAAAUGCGUAGAUAUCAGAAGGAACGCCGGCGGCGAAAGCGGCUCUCUGGCCCGUAACUGACGCUGAGUGUGCGAAAGCUAGGGGAGCAAACGGGAUUAGAUACCCGGGUAGUC
rnacentral:rRNA from 1 species